CUUGAUGAUCAAUCUUUCACGAAAAGUUCUAUGAGUGAAGAAUGAAAUGAGUAUUAAUUUGGACCUGCUUUCAGCAUGGAUGCUGAUGAGGAGAAGCCGAUAUUAUAUGAAAGAGCAGAGGCAAUUUCUGCAAAAGAAGAUAGUAUAGAGAUGGGAAAGGAAACUCCUCUGGCUACCACGAUUGAGGUCAAGGUUCAUCCGACACGAGGGAACGAUAAGUUGGUUUAUCCGUUUAAUCGUGAUCCCUUUCCUGCUGCUUCUUCAAUUCAGGAAGAGAUCCAAUCUCUGGAGCA